UAAUACAGAGGGUGCGAGCGUUUAUCGGAAUUACUGGGCGUAAAGGGUGCGUAGGUGGUUCGAUAAGUCAGAUGUGAAAUCCCUGGGCUUAACCUGGGAAUUGCAUUUGAUACUGUCAAACUAGAGUGUGGUAGAGGUAAGCGGAAUUCCCGGUGUAGCGGUGAAAUGCGUAGAUAUCGGGAGGAACAUCAGUGGCGAAGGCGGCUUACUGGACCAACACUGACACUGAGGCACGAAAGCGUGGGUAGCAAACAGGAUUAGAUACCCUGGUAGUCCACGCCCUAAACGAUGUCGACUAGCCGUUGGGCUCAUAAAAGAGCUUAGUGGCGCAGUUAACGCGAUAAGUCGACCGCCUGGGGAGUACGGCCGCAAGGCUA
rnacentral:rRNA from 1 species